ACGCUGGCGGCAGGCUUAACACAUGCAAGUCGAGCGCCCCGCAAGGGGAGCGGCAGACGGGUGAGUAACGCGUGGGAAUCUACCCAUCUCUACGGAAUAACGCAUGGAAACGUGUGCUAAUACCGUAUACGUCCUCCGGGAGAAAGAUUUAUCGGAGAUGGAUGAGCCCGCGUUGGAUUAGCUAGUUGGUGGGGUAAAGGCCUACCAAGGCGACGAUCCAUAGCUGGUCUGAGAGGAUGAUCAGCCACACUGGGACUGAGACACGGCCCAGACUCCUACGGGAGGCAGCAGUGGGGAAUAUUGGACAAUGGGCGCAAGCCUGAUCCAGCCAUGCCGCGUGAGUGAUGAAGGCCCUAGGGUUGUAAAGCUCUUUCACCGGUGAAGAUAAUGACGGUAACCGGAGAAGAAGCCCCGGCUAACUUCGUGCCAGCAGCCGCGGUAA
rnacentral:rRNA from 2 species